rnacentral:lncRNA from 1 species
UUGAUUUCGCUCAACACAGCGUAAAGCUCCAGCUGUGUUGAUUGAGCGAUUGAUGUCCCGAUGCAGCAGCAACGUAUUUUAACUGCAGUUGCAGGGUUGCGCCACUAUAGAGGCGCUAUAUCAACAGCAGUGCACCGGAAAGACCUGAAGCAUCUACCGAAGAAGAAACGGAUCGAAUCAUGUUUUUUCAAGUGUUUUUCCCGCUAGUUGGUGCUGUCGGCGUCCUGAUUUUCCCUGGCGGAUGGUACAAACAGGUAAAUACUGCUUCUCUUUUUUGCAUCCAAGCAUGUCGGGUUUAUUAUUUAAAAAAAAGUUUACUCCGUUUUUAGCGUUUUAGAUAUGACAGGCAAAAUCAGCCAGUACUUUAAAAAGCGACCUCGCGAGGAGGAAAGUCAAGAGUCCAGGUGAAACACAGCAGAGAAAAACGUAACAGGCAGUUAAAAUGCUAUAACUCAUGUUGGUGACAACGUGGAAAUUUGUGUCAGGUCUGAAAGUACUUCACAAGGGACUGGUGAUCGCGAGGGUCAGAAUGCAGGACAGGACGAGUCGGCGAGGCGAGGGUAAUUAAUUAAUUAGUUUCCAAUUAGGAGCAUAACAACGCAAAGCCAACGUGUACGUGGUUUUUAUUUCUCUUUGUAGAUCUUCUCAAAAACACAGAGCCAGUGGCUUUGACAAGCAAUGGCUCAAUCAAUUUACCUGGCUCAGGCAUACUGAGGAAGGCAUGCACUGCUAUUUAUGCCAAAAGCACUGUGCCCCAACACAGCAGGCAAUUGCUGCCUCCUUAGUGAGACAGCCAUCAACCAACUACAGGCUGGACACAUUAAAAAGACAUGAAGUGACAGCCAUUCACAAAGCAGCAGAAGAGAAGGAGAAGUAUAUUAAAGAUGGUAGUACCUAAAAAACUCAACUAAUAAAGUUACAAAAAAUAAAUAACAUAGUUUAGAUAGUUUAAGAAAUAAUUGGUUGUCGUUUUUUUUUUAGGGAGGACACUGCAGCGUAUACAUAUAUAUGAUUGAGAACACUAUCACUCUUCAUGUCUGUAUCAGAAUAAAAACGAAAAUACUUAAUGCAUGAUGAAUUGUUUUGGUUAAGGUGAAGACACCUCUGUGGAACAGACUGAAGGAGAGGCACUUGGAUGUCUGUUGUAAGGUGGCCAUUGAUGGACCAGACCAGGAGGCCUUGGACUACAAGGAGUGCAUGAGGAGGUUCUACAGAAUGAAAAAGAGGAGGCUGAAAUGUUCUGUCUGGUUGUGAGAUGUGUGGAUGAAGUGUACUUUCAAUUUAAAGUUGCCAGCUGAUUUGUGUAUGUAUAUAGUUUUAAUAAAUUAAUGCUUUAACAUAAUAAUGGUCACACUCUUUUUUGAACUCUUAACUUAAAGUAUGUUGCCUGUAAAAGAAAGUGAAUCGGUUG